rnacentral:rRNA from 1 species
AUUGAACGCUGGCGGCAGGCCUAACACAUGCAAGUCGAACGAGUGGCGGACGGGUGAGUAAUGUCUGGGAAACUGCCUGAUGGAGGGGGAUAACUACUGGAAAAGGUAGCUAAUACCGCAUACCAUCAAAUGUGCCCAGAUGGGAUUAGCUAGUUGGUGGGUUAACGGCUAACCAGGGCUACGAUCCCUAGCUGGUGUGAGAGGAUGACCGGCCACACUGGAACUGAGAAACGGUCCAGAGUCCUACGGGAGUCAGCAGUGGGGAAGAGUGCACAAUGUGCGCAAGCCUGAUGCAGCCAUGCCGGGUGUAUGAAGAAGGCCUUCGGGUUGUAAAGUACUUUCAGCGGGGAGGCGUUACCCGCAGAAGAAGCACCGGCUAACUCCGUGCCAGCAGCCGCGGUAAUUC